AACUGGACACAGUACUGCAGAAGAGGCCUCUCCAAUGCCGAAUAGAGGGGAAUGAUCACGUCCCUUGAUCUGCUGCCAAUGCUCCUACUUACACACUGAAAGCUCUUCGGAAGAGAAGAGCUGUGGCUCACGAUGUCUGUACUAUUCCCUGGCUAUCCCAGUUGGCACCUCUAGGUGCUACUGUCAUAGAGAAGCAACUGACCGUCACAUCACAACCACCAACUUAUCCAAAUCCCAGAGCAGCUGCGUCCACACAUGGCGUGACCCAGGUCUCAGCGUGAUGCCGUUGGAAGAACAUACAAGCUCUGUCCAUCUCCAGAUCUCCCCGCACUUGGCAAGAAGGAAUGCCGAUAGCCCCGUGGACCUGGCGAGGAGAUAGGUACCCAUUCAACGUCUAAUCAGCUAGUCCAUCAGCCGAGUCUUAUUGCAGACCAAUUCCUCCAACCAAGCCGCCUCCUGGCUGUGAUACAACUCCCGCGCAAGACAUGUUUGCUCUGCAGUUUUGGAGGGGAAGGGGAAGGGGGCUCUGGCACUGCGCCAGCAGUUGGCGGGUGGAGGCUGGGGGGCAUUU